GAUGAACGCUGGCGGCGUGCUUAACACAUGCAAGUCGAACGGGGGUGCUCAUGACGGAGGAUUCGUCCAACGGAUUGAGUUACCUAGUGGCGGACGGGUGAGUAACGCGUGAGGAACCUGCCUUGGAGAGGGGGAUAACACUCCGAAAGGAGUGCUAAUACCGCAUAAUGCAGUUGGGUCGCAUGGCUCUGACUGACCAAAGUAUUUAUCGCUCUGAGAUGGCCUCGCGUCUGAUUAGCUAGUAGGCGGGGGUAACGCCC
rnacentral:rRNA from 1 species